rnacentral:misc_RNA from 1 species
UCUCCGUUGGUGAACCAGCGGAGGGAUCAUUACUGAGUUACCGCUCUACAACCCUUUGUGAACAUACCUAACUGUUGCUUCGGCGGGCAGAGGUCCCUCGCGGAUCUCUCCCGGCAACGCCCUCACGGGCGGAGCGCCCGCCGGAGGAUACCAAACUCUAUUUUAACGACGUUUCUUCUGAGUGGCACAAGUAAAUAGUUAAAACUUUUAACAACGGAUCUCUUGGUUCUG